rnacentral:lncRNA from 1 species
ACAUAACCCAAUCCGAAGUGAAAGAACACUACUUACACCGAAAAUAAUCCUUUUUUCAACUGCACAUGUGAAUAAUUAUAAAAUAAAAGUUACUUUUCAUAUAUAAAUAUCGAGUUGUUUCUUUCCACUGUAUGUAUUGCCGUGUAUCUGUAUUAUGGUGUGCAACAUUGCCGGUCUAUUCCGAAUGUUGUGUAAACACAGUUUAUUUUGAGAAUCAAUUUUAGACGAAAUAUUUUCCCUCUGGAUCAAUUGGCAAAUAGUUCACGUGGAAAAUUGUUUUCGUCUGAGUCGAUUCUAAAUAUAUUAUAACCUGCUGAAUAUGCUUGAAAAAUGGCGGAAUGUGUAUUGAAAACUGUACACAAUUGACAUAUAUUGGAUAUGAGGGCUUUUAAAGCCUUCCAGACCUUCAAUAAUUCAAAAUGCUGCUGCUGACAGGUUGAUAGGGGAAAGUACUCCAAACGAGCCUUCCAGACCUUCAAUACUGCAAAAUGAUGCUGCUGACAGAUUAAUAGGCGAUACUGAUCACUUCGAGAUUUCCACGUCUUCACAGCUAAGAAAUGACGCAGCUGACAGAUUAAUGUAAAACAAAGAUUGCAACCGGAUGGAAACUUGUGACGAAUUCGGCUGACAGUCACUGACGAACAUGAUCGACUUAUUUCCAUUCUGACAUGGACACAUUGAAUUACUAUUAAAUUUCAUUUUAUUUAUAUACUUUUAUUUGUCAUUAUUCCGUAAGGAUACGACAUUUUUAACUUCACUACAUCAUUCGUUACCUUAAUCACGCAGAUGCCUUGUUAAUACUUAUCACUUCAACUUGAUCGCGUAAUCUUCUAUACCGGUACAAGAGGAAACAGCAAUGAUAUAUUUUUUCCUAAUGCUAGAUACAUUAUUGUCAAAAUUUUAGACAAUGUAUUCAAGGUUUUUACCCACAUUUUUAGCUCGACUAUUUGAGAAAUAGUCUAACUAUUUUACUCACCUUGACGUCGGCGCCGUGCGUCACACCUUGGUUAUAAUUUUGCAUGCAAGUACAUAUGGCUAUGAUUUAAAGGCAUAUAGCUUUGAAACUUGUUUUUUCGUUGUUUUUUUAG